UACGGAGGGUGCGAGCGUUGUUCGGAAUCACUGGGCGUAAAGCGCGUGUAGGCGGCCUGCUAAGUCUGAUGUGAAAGCCCGAGGCUCACCCUCGGAAGUGCAUUGGAAACUGGCAGACUGGAGUCCCGGAGAGGAGGGUGGAAUUCCUGGUGUAGCGGUGAAAUGCGUAGAUAUCAGGAGGAACACCGGUGGCGAAGGCGGCCCUCUGGACGGUGACUGACGCUGAGACGCGAAAGCGUGGGGAGCGAACCGG
rnacentral:rRNA from 1 species